GUGCACGCUGGCGGUAGGCCUAACACCUGCACGUCGCACGGCAGCACAGUAAGAGCUUGCUCUUACGGGUGGCGAGUGGCGGACGGGUGAGGAAUACAUCGGAAUCUACUUUUUCGUGGGGGAUAACGUAGGGAAACUUACGCUAAUACCGCAUACGACCUACGGGUGAAAGCAGGGGAUCUUCGGACCUUGCGCGAUUGAAUGAGCCGAUGUCGGAUUAGCUAGUUGGCGGGGUAAAGGCCCACCAAGGCGACGAUCCGUAGCUGGUCUGAGAGGAUGAUCAGCCACACUGGAACUGAGACACGGUCCAGACUCCUACGGGAGGCAGCAGUGGGGAAUAUUGGACAAUGGGCGCAAGCCUGAUCCAGCCAUACCGCGUGGGUGAAGAAGGCCUUCGGGUUGUAAAGCCCUUUUGUUGGGAAAGAAAAGCAGCAGGUUAAUACCCCGCUGUUCUGACGGUACCCAAAGAAUAAGCACCGGCUAACUUCGUG
rnacentral:rRNA from 1 species